CUUUUUUUUAACUGAGCCUACAAAUCCGAGACUAAAGGUUCUGUCUUUGUUAGUCCUGAAAUCAGACAACCAGAACUAUACUUGUAUUUUAAUGUAUUUAUCUCGAUAGUAAAUGAUAUAUCUGGCAAUAAAUUUGUGCCAUGUUAAUUUAGUCUUGGAAGAUACUGAAAAACAACCAAAUAACAAGGACGAUGUGAGUUUAAAAAACAACCAAAUAACACUGAAACUAUACUUGCAAGAGUUAGUACGACCCCCUUUUAAUGUACCGUGACUUCUAAAUU
rnacentral:lncRNA from 7 species